CCUACGUGGAGCAGCAGUGAGGAAUAUUGGUCAAUGGGCUUACGCCUGAACCAGCCAAGUCGCGUGAGGGAAGACUGCCCUAUGGUUUGUAAACCUCUUUUGUCAGGGAGCAACGCCGGCUACGUGUAGCCGAACUAAUAGUCCCUCAAGAAAAAGCAUCGGCUAACUCCGUGCCAGAAGCCGCGGUAAUACAGAGGAUGCGAGCGUUAUCCGGAUUUAGUGGGUUUAAAGGGUGAGUAGGCGGAAUGCAAAGUCAGCGGUAAAAUCGCGGGGCUCAACCUCGCUCCGCCGUUGAAACUGGCGUUCUUGAGUGGGCGAGAAGUAUGCGGAAUGCGGGGUGUAGCGGUGAAAUGCAUAGAUAUCACGUAGAACUCCGAUUGCGAAGGCAGCAUACCGGCGCCCAACUGACGCUGAAGCACGAAAGCGUGGGUAUCGAACAGGAUUAGAUACCCGAGUAGUC
rnacentral:rRNA from 1 species